rnacentral:sRNA from 1 species
GUUUCAAAACCACCUAAAGAAAAAACUUCAAUAAGUAAUUACUUUAAGCUUCUAAAAUCAAUCGCUGGUCAUCACAACAAAAACCUAACAGUGGAGGGUAUUCAUAAAAAAAUAAAUCUAGCCGACUCCAAAUUAUCGUGGGAGCAUGAGCGUUUCUGUAUGAAACGGUUUCCUGCAUUUACAUUAUCCUCAGCGAAAUCCCCUGUAAGUCCGCUGCGAACUACGAUGUUUAAGGAUAACGAAUCGUAUAUAAUAGAGCAUUUGGUUAUUUCCGUGAAGAAUAUAGCCGAAUCACUUGCUUGUUAUAUGUAUAAAAUAGAUCCCUUCUCUGAAGUUUUUGAAGGUCAUGCUGCUAUAAUUGAAGACAAUAUUCGUCCAUACCUCGGAAUCAAAGCGACUUUGCAGAAUAACGACAUUAAAGACGGAUUU